UACGGAGGAUCCAAGCGUUGUCCGGAUUUAUUGGGUUUAAAGGGUGCGUAGGUGGAUAAUUAAGUCAGGGGUGAAAGCCCGCAGCUCAACUGUGGAACUGCCCUUGAAACUGAUUAUCUUGAAUAUGGUUGAGGUAGGCGGAAUGUGUCAUGUAGCGGUGAAAUGCUUAGAUAUGAUACAGAACACCAAUUGCGAAGGCAGCUUACUAAGCCAUUAUUGACACUGAGGCACGAAAGCAUGGGGAGCAAACAGG
rnacentral:rRNA from 1 species